UAGGGAAUCUUCGGCAAUGGACGAAAGUCUGACCGAGCAACGCCGCGUGAGUGAAGAAGGUUUUCGGAUCGUAAAACUCUGUUGUUAGAGAAGAACAAGGACGUUAGUAACUGAACGUCCCCUGACGGUAUCUAACCAGAGAGCCACGGCUAACUACGUGCCAGCAGCCGCGGUAAUACGUAGGUGGCAAGCGUUGUCCGGAUUUAUUGGGCGUAAAGCGAGCGCAGGCGGUUUCUUAAGUCUGAUGUGAAAGCCCCCGGCUCAACCGGGGAGGGUCAUUGGAAACUGGGAGACUUGAGUGCAGAAGAGGAGAGUGGAAUUCCAUGUGUAGCGGUGAAAUGCGUAGAUAUAUGGAGGAGCACCAGUGGCGAAGGCGGCUCUCUGGUCUGUAACUGACGCUGAGGCUCGAAAGCGUGGGGAGCAAACAGG
rnacentral:rRNA from 1 species